rnacentral:rRNA from 1 species
AUUGAACGCUGGCGGCAGGCCUAACACAUGCAAGUCGAACGAGUGGCGGACGGGUGAGUAAUGUCUGGGAAACUGCCCGAUGGAGGGGGAUAACUACGCGAAAGCGUAGCUAAUACCGCAUACUAUUGGAGCGGCCGAUAUCGGAUUAGCUAGUAGGUGGGGUAAUGGCUCACCUAGGCGACGAUCCCUAGCUGGUCUGAGAGGAUGACCAGCCACACUGGAACUGAGACACGGUCCAGACUCCUACGGGAGGCAGCAGUGGGGAAUAUUGCACAAUGGGCGCAAGCCUGAUGCAGCCAUGCCGCGUGUAUGAAGAAGGCCUUCGGGUUGUAAAGUACUUUCAGCGAGGAGGCGUUACUCGCAGAAGAAGCACCGGCUAACUCCGUGCCAGCAGCCGCGGUAAUAC